rnacentral:rRNA from 1 species
GAUGAACGCUAGCUACAGGCUUAACACAUGCAAGUCGAGGGGCAGCAUGAAAGUUUGCUUGCAAACUUUUGAUGGCGACCGGCGCACGGGUGAGUAACACGUAUCCAACCUGCCUCAUACUCGGGGAUAGCCUUUCGAAAGAAAGAUUAAUACCCGAUGUUAUAGUCCUACCGCAUGAUGGGAUUAUUAAAGAAUUUCGGUAUGGGAUGGGGAUGCGUUCCAUUAGUUAGUUGGCGGGGUAACGGCCCACCAAACCGACGAUGGAUAGGGGUUCUGAGAGGAAGGUCCCCCACAUUGGUACUGAGACACGGACCAA